rnacentral:rRNA from 1 species
UACGGAGGGAGCUAGCGUUGUUCGGAAUUACUGGGCGUAAAGCGCACGUAGGCGGCUUUGUAAGUUAGAGGUGAAAGCCCGGGGCUCAACUCCGGAACUGCCUUUAAGACUGCAUCGCUUGAAUCCAGGAGAGGUGAGUGGAAUUCCGAGUGUAGAGGUGAAAUUCGUAGAUAUUCGGAAGAACACCAGUGGCGAAGGCGGCUACACUGGAGCC